ensembl:snRNA U4 U4 spliceosomal RNA
AGCUUUGCACAGUGACAAUAUGGUAGCCAAUGAGCUUUAUCUGAGGUGUGAUUAUUACUAACUGAAAACUUUUCCUAAAGGUGUCUAUUGGAAAAUAGAUUUGAUGGAUAUAAUUAACAUUU